rnacentral:rRNA from 1 species
AUUGAACGCUGGCGGCAGGCCUAACACAUGCAAGUCGAGCGGAUGAAGGGAGCUUGCUCCUGGAUUCAGCGGCGGACGGGUGAGUAAUGCCUAGGAAUCUGCCUGCUAGUGGGGGAUAACGUCCGGAAACGGGCGCUAAUACCGCAUACGUCCUGAGGGAGAAAGUGGGGGAUCUUCGGACCUCACGCUAUCAGAUGAGCCUAGGUCGGAUUAGCUAGUUGGUGGGGUAAAGGCCUACCAAGGCGACGAUCCGUAACUGGUCGGAGAGGAUGACCAGUCACACUGGAACGGAGACACGGUCCAGACUCCUACGGGAGGCAGCAGUGGGGAUUAGUGGACAAUGGGGCAAAGCCUGAUCCAGCCAUGCCGGGUGUGUGAAGAAGGUCUUCGGAUUGUAAAGCACUUUAAGUUGGGAGGAAGGGCAGUAAGUUAAUACCUUGCUGUUUUGACGUUACCGACAGAAUAAGCACCGGCUAACUUCGUG